rnacentral:rRNA from 1 species
GGCGAACGGGUGAGUAACACGUGGGUGAUCUGCCCUGCACUUCGGGAUAAGCCUGGGAAACUGGGUCUAAUACCGGAUAGGACGAUGGUUUGGAUGCCAUUGUGGAAAGUUUUCGGUGUGGGAUGAGCUCGCGGCCUAUCAGCUUGUUGGUGGGGUAAUGGCCUACCAAGGCGUCGACUGGUAGCCGGCCUGAGAGGGUGGACGGCCACAUUGGGACUGAGAUACGGCCCAG